GACGAACGCUGGCGGCGUGCUUAACACAUGCAAGUCGAACGGAAAGGCCCUGCUUUUGUGGGGUGCUCGAGUGGCGAACGGGUGAGUAACACGUGAGUAACCUGCCCUUGACUUUGGGAUAACUUCAGGAAACUGGGGCUAAUACCGGAUAGGAGCUCCUGCUGCAUGGUGGGGGUUGGAAAGUUUCGGCGGUUGGGGAUGGACUCGCGGCUUAUCAGCUUGUUGGUGGGGUAGUGGCUUACCAAGGCUUUGACGGGUAGCCGGCCUGAGAGGGUGACCGGCCACAUUGGGACUGAGAUACGGCCCAGACUCCUACGGGAGGUAGCAGUGGGGAAUAUUGCACAAUGGGCGGAAGCCUGAUGCAGCAACGCCGCGUGCGGGAUGACGGCCUUCGGGUUGUAAACCGCUUUCGCCUGUGACGCAGCGUGAGUGACGGUAAUGGGUAAAGAAGCACCGGCUAACUACGUG
rnacentral:rRNA from 1 species